rnacentral:rRNA from 1 species
ACGAACGCUGGCGGCGUGCCUAAUACAUGCAAGUCGAACGCUUCUUUUUCCACCGGAGCUUGCUCCACCGGAAAAAGAGGAGUGGCGAACGGGUGAGUAACACGUGGGUAACCUGCCCAUCAGAAGGGGAUAACACUUGGAAACAGGUGCUAAUACCGUAUAACAAUCGAAACCGCAUGGUUUUGAUUUGAAAGGCGCUUUCGGGUGUCGCUGAUGGAUGGACCCGCGGUGCAUUAGCUAGUUGGUGAGGUAACGGCUCACCAAGGCGACGAUGCAUAGCCGACCUGAGAGGGUGAUCGGCCACAUUGGGACUGAGACACGGCCCAAACUCCUACGGGAGGCAGCAGUAGGGAAUCUUCGGCAAUGGACGAAAGUCUGACCGAGCAACGCCGCGUGAGUGAAGAAGGUUUUCGGAUCGUAAAACUCUGUUGUUAGAGAAGAACAAGGAUGAGAGUAACUGUUCAUCCCUUGACGGUAUCUAACCAGAAAGCCACGGCUAACUACGUGCCAGCAGCCGCGGUAAUACGUAGGUGGCAAGCGUUGUCCGGAUUUAUUGGGCGUAAACCGCCCGCAGGCGGUCUAUCAAGUCUGAUGUGAUAGCCCCCGGCUCAACCGGGGAGGGUCAUUGGAAACUGGGAGACUUGAGUGCAGAAGAGGAGAGUGGAAUUCCAUGUGUAGCGGUGAAAUGCGUAGAUAUAUGGAGGAACACCAGUGGCGAAGGCGGCUCUCUGGUCUGUAACUGACGCUGAGGCUCGAAAGCGUGGGGAGCAAACAGGAUUAGAUACCCUGGUAGUCCACGCCGUAAACGAUGAGUGCUAAGUGUUGGAGGGUUUCCGCCCUUCAGUGCUGCAGCUAACGCAUUAAGCACUCCGCCUGGGGAGUACGACCGCAAGGUUGAAACUCAAAGGAAUUGACGGGGGCCCGCACAAGCGGUGGAGCAUGUGGUUUAAUUCGAAGCAACGCGAAGAACCUUACCAGGUCUUGACAUCCUUUGACCACUCUAGAGAUAGAGCUUCCCCUUCGGGGGCAAAGUGACAGGUGGUGCAUGGUUGUCGUCAGCUCGUGUCGUGAGAUGUUGGGUUAAGUCCCGCAACGAGCGCAACCCUUAUUGUUAGUUGCCAUCAUUUAGUUGGGCACUCUAGCAAGACUGCCGGUGACAAACCGGAGGAAGGUGGGGAUGACGUCAAAUCAUCAUGCCCCUUAUGACCUGGGCUACACACGUGCUACAAUGGGAAGUACAACGAGUCGCAAAGUCGCGAGGCUAAGCUAAUCUCUUAAAGCUUCUCUCAGUUCGGAUUGUAGGCUGCAACUCGCCUACAUGAAGCCGGAAUCGCUAGUAAUCGCGGAUCAGCACGCCGCGGUGAAUACGUUCCCGGGCCUUGUACACACCGCCCGUCACACCACGAGAGUUUGUAACACCCGAAGUCGGUGAGGUAACCUUUUGGAGCCAGCCGCCUAAGGUGGGAUAGAUGAUUGGGGUG